rnacentral:rRNA from 1 species
CCUCCUACGGGGGGCAGCAGUGGGGAAUAUUGCACAAUGGGGGAAACCCUGAUGCAGCAACGCCGCGUGAGUGAAGAAGUCAUUCGUGAUGUAAAGCUCUAUCAGCAGGGAAGAAAAUGACGGUACCUGAGUAAGAAGCCCCGGCUAAAUACGUGCCAGCAGCCGCGGUAAUACGUAUGGGGCAAGCGUUAUCCGGAUUUACUGGGUGUAAAGGGAGCGUAGGCGGCCUGGCAAGCCUGAUGUGAAAUACCGGGGCCCAACCCCGGAACUGCUUUGGAAACUGUACAGCUAGAGUGCAGGAGGGG